GAAAUUUGGUGCCAUGACUCGGAUCGGGGGACCUCCCUUAGGAGAUCAAUCCCCUGUCCUCCUGUUCUUUGCUCCGUGAGAAAGAUCCACCUACUACCUCAGGUCCUCAGACCGACCACGUAGGGACGCCUACCUUGGUCCUUCACCCUUAGCGGCAAGUCCCGCUUUUCUGGGAGAGGGGCAAGUACCCCUCCACCCCUUCUCCUUCACUCUUAGCGGCAAGUCCCACUUUUCUAGAGGAGGGGCAAGUACCCCAACCUCGUAUCUCUGCGCCCCAAUCCCUUAUUUCCACGUCCCGACCUCUUAUCUCUGCGCCCCAAUCCCUUAUUUCUGUACCCCGACCCCUUAUUUCCAUGCCCCGACCCCUUAUUUCUGCACCCCAUCCCUUAUUUCCGUGCCCCGACCUCUUAUCUCUGCGCCCCAACCCCUUUUCCCACUUUUCUGGAAGGUAAGAACCCCCGAACCCCUUCCCUCCGUUUCUCUACUCUCUCUUUUCUCUAGGCUUGGUUCCUUCACUAUGGGCAACCUUCCACCCUCCAUUCGUCCUUCUACUCCCUUGCUCCUUUUUCUUUAUCCCAAAUCGGAUAGCGUUUAGGCUCUUUUUCAUCAAAUAUAAAAAUCCAGCCCAGUUCAGGACUCGUUUGGCAGCAAUAUCCCAUUCCGCAGCACGCUUUAAAAAGAUUAAAGCCUGUUAUCACUCGCUUGCUACAGCAUGGCCUUUUAAAGCCUCAGACACGCUUUCUUUACUAUUCCUUUGCACCCUUAAUCCCAGCGUCUCUUCACCUUCACUUGAACUGAGCCUGACACCCAUCAAGCUCAGCAAAUUACCUACUACUGAUCUCUCAAACCCCAGCACCUUCUACAAAACAACAACUCCUUUCCUUCCUAGACAUGGUUAGCGUGGUCAGAAUUCUCUUCCUCAUACCUGACACGUAUACUUUCUGCUUCCUGGCUUCUUCAGCUAUACUCACUCUUUGUUGAGUCUCCCACAAUUACCGUUGUUCCUGGCCCAGACUUCAAUCCGGCCUCCCACAUUAUUCAUGAUACCACACCUGACCCCCAUAACUGUAUCUCUCUGAUCCACCUGACAUUCACCCCAUUUCCCCAAAUUUCCUUCUUUCCUGUUCCUCACUCUGAUCACGCUUGAUUUAUUGAUGGUGGUUCCACCAGGCCUAAUGGCCACACACCAGCAAAGGCAGGUUAUGCCACUAGCCCACCUCUUAGAACCCAGUCUCAUUCCAGACACCAGACCAACUUAGAUUGUGCCCCCAAAAAUACUUGUCAUCCCUAUUAUCUUCUGUCUAGUCAUACUCCUAUUCACUGUUCUCAACUCAUCCUGGCUCAAAAAGCACCCCCACUGAGCACCUUGGGACCCCCACUCCUUCCUGCCAGAGAACAAACCCCCUUUGACUGUAAUUUACCUACCCAAAUCCUAUAAAACG
rnacentral:lncRNA from 1 species